AAUUUAAGUUUUGGAUCAUUCUUUUGAGAAAGAAAGAAAAGUACCCUUUUAAAAGAGCGUACUUUCAACAUAAAGACGACGAGGAUAAAGGCAUUUAUGAUGAACUACUUCCACAUAAUGAAUAAUUGAACAAAGGAGAGAAUUGUGAGAGUGAGAAAAAGUGAGACAAAGAAGAAAAACUAUAAAUCAGCAAAAUACAGUGCCAAGAGCUCUGGACCACAAAUCAGAAGACCUGAGCCCUAAUUCCUUUCCAGUCAUUGGAUUUGUUCGUCGCUUGCCAAAAUAGCAGCGAACUCUCUGUCAAACUGCAACUCAUUUUAUCGGAGCAAAAACUGAACAAAGAACUGCUAUCAUUUCUGAGAUGAGAACACCGAAGAACAGAGGCCAGUUGGAGUCAUGGAACCGUCGAGGUGCAGAAUCAGAAUUUGAACCCCAAUAACCUGUCCACAGAGUCAGCUCUCUU
rnacentral:lncRNA from 10 species